GGGUGCUGUGUAUGUCUGUGGAUGCUGUAUGUGUGUGGGUGCUGUGUAUGGGUGCUGUAUGUGUGUGGGUGAUGUGUAUGUCUGUGGGUGCUGUAUGUGUGUGGGUGCUGUAUGUGUGUGGGUGAUGUGUAUGUCUGUGGGUGCUGUAUGUGUGUGGGUGCUGUGUAUGUCUGUGGGUGCUGUAUGUGUGUGGGUGCUGUAUGUGUGUGGGUGCUGUGUAUGUCUGUGGGUGCUGUAUGUGUGUGGGUGCUGUGUAUGGGUGCUGUAUGUGUGUG